CCUCGAAGGAACCAAUGCCCCUAUAACUAUCAAGAAGAUUGACUACCUCAAAGGCUGUAUUAUAAGGUUCUCUUCUUCAUGGGAGCUGCAAAGAAAUUCCUAGAGCAUACCCAGCCAAUGAGCAAACCCAGACUCAAUGAAAUCAGCGAGUGCUAGGUCCUUGGAGGAAUCAAUGAAUUGUCACUGUAUCAGUCUAUCUUCCGUCGCUGUUCACUGUUCCAGAUCGUCGUUCGCCACUGUUCGCUGUUCCAAAUUGUUGUCUGCUGCUGUUCGUUGUUCCAAAUCAGUGUUCAUCACUGUUCGUUCAUUUCUGUGUCAUGUCGCGCCAUCUGUCUCUGUUUUUGCGCUGCCAUCGCCGUCACCGCCAUCUCCCGCAUCACUAUUCUAGAUCUGCAUUGCUGUUCCAGAUCUAUGACGCUGCUGUACACCAGAGGAAGCGACGCCGUGAAGACCUCCGUUGCAGCCGUGUGUCAUUACUGUAUAGCCGAGGAAGCAACGCCGCAAAGACCUUUGCUACUGCCGUGAAGACUACACUGUGAAGGUACCUACAUAAUUACAAGAUUGGGAGUGUGGAUACUAUGUUAUGAAGUUUAUGAGAGAAGUAAUCACACAACAAGAGUUGAUCAUUCCUGAAAAUGUAAGUCAAAAGCUUUGAAAUUAAGUUGAUAUAAUGUUAAUUACUUAUAUAUUGCUUUCAUAUCUUGUGUAGUAUUUUGUUGGAGUAAGAUGUUC